rnacentral:tRNA from 1 species
AUUUAAGUAGCUUAAUAGGAGAGUAUGGCACUGAAGAUGCUAGGGUGAUAAUUUAUCCUUAAAUA